rnacentral:rRNA from 1 species
AUUGAACGCUGGCGGCAGGCCUAACACAUGCAAGUCGAGCGGAUGAAGGGAGCUUGCUCCUGGAUUCAGCGGCGGACGGGUGAGUAAUGCCUAGGAAUCUGCCUGGUCGUGGGGGAUAACGUCCGGAAACGGGCGCUAAUACCGCAUACGUCCUGAGGGAGAAAGUGGGGGAUCUUCGGACCUCACGCUAUCAGAUGAGCCUAGGUCGGAUUAGCUAGUUGGUGGGGUAAAGGCCUACCAAGGCGACGAUCCGUAACUGGUCUGAGAGGAUGAUCAGUCACACUGGAACUGAGACACGGUACAGACUCCUACGGGAGGAAGCAGUGGGGAAUAUUGGACGAUGGGGGAAAGCCUGAUCCAGCAAAGCCGCGUGUGUGAAGAAGGUCUUCGGAUUGUAAAGCACUUUAAGUUGGGAGGAAGGGCAGUAAGUUAAUACCUUGCUGUUUUGACGUUACCAACAGAAUAAGCACCGGCUAACUUCGUG